UCCCUCCAGAUUCCAUACCCACCAGACCUAAACAUUGGCCUCAGUGGUUAUAAAAAGAGGAAAAGUAAAACUGAAACUGGCUUAAAUGAUUUCAUGACACAAGCUUGUUUCUAACAGAC